CACGUAGGCACCAAGCGUUGUCCGGAUUUAUUGGGCGUAAAGAGCUCGUAGGCGGUUCAGUAAGUCAGGUGUGAAAUCUUUGGGCUUAACCCAAAGCGUGCACUUGAUACUGCUGUGACUUGAGUUCGGUAGGGGAGUGGGGAAUUCCUAGUGUAGCGGUGAAAUGCGUAGAUAUCAGGAGGAACACCGGUGGUGUAGACGGCUUACUGGACCAUGACUGACGCUGAGGCACGAAAGCGUGGGGAGCAAACAGG
rnacentral:rRNA from 1 species